CUCAGGCCUAGUCAUGACAUCGUUUCCAGCACAGAGUGAAGUAAAAACAAAGCUUUACUUCUUUGGUCUGAAGAGGAAAGUGAAGGUGACAAUGACCCAGACAACAAUUCCAAGGUUGAUGGCAGUAUCAUUCAAGGGAGGAUGACAUCAACUACGACGAAUCAUCUGAAAACUGCAAAACACCCGCAAAGAAAUCGAAAUUAACACAAGAGGUACCAUUUAAAGUACAGAAAAGAAGGAAAGGGCCCCAUUCAAAACCGACUAGACGAGUACAUGGGCAGGUGCUCACAGAGAACAACUGCGUACCCAAAUUUUCACAACUGGCAGAAGCUUCACUUAAUACAGAUGAGCCAGAUAUGAGGCUUAUAUUACUAGAACUUAGGGCCCAUAUUAAUGGCAUUUUGGGGAAGAAUCUCCCAUCAAAUGCACAAUAUAGAGUGGUAGCAAGUACUCUCAAUAAGAAAUAUCCCAUUGUAGCUGAUCCUGAUAAUGCUUAUGAGAACAUCAAGUUGAAAGUCAGCGCUUCUCUCAGCAAAAAAAAGGACAAAUAAUAAUAAAGAAAAAAAAAGUUGGAGUAGGAACUAGCAAAAUGGAAAGCUACAAAGAAGGCAAAGUCAUCAGAUCAGCUGAACAUAAAAAUGUGAGUCUCUUGUAAGAAGUUCCUGGUCCUCCAUAUCGCUGUUAGCUGAUCUCUGCCAUGACAACUGUAGAGGCCUUCUUUAGUACUUUCUAUUGCAAUAGAAUAGGAAUAUCGGUAGAACAGCGUCGUUUGAGGAUUGGCCUUCAUGCCCGAGGGCACAACCCACUUCCCAACCGUGCAACCAAUCAUCAGGGAAAGCUUACGGUAUCAAAAUUAGGAAGCUUAUAUCAUCAAUGCUGCUCUGCUUACUUCUGCUGUGAAUCUCUGCAAUGGAACCAAACCCUGGUCCUCCAUGUCACUGUUAGCUGCGCUCUACUCUUACAACAACUGUAUUGGCCAUCUUUAACGCUCUUUGUUUUAAUGGAAUGGGGAAUAUCAGUGAAUGGAAAGAAUCAUGGUAUCAAAAUUGGGAAGCUUUUACCAUAAAUGCUGCUCUGCAUACUUCUGCUGCAAGUUACUACACCCCCGCCUCAAGAACUAGAAGGCAAAGUUUGUCCAAAUCCGUUUCCACCAAAUAAAAUUAAAGAGGAAGUUGCCACAUUUUAUUUAGCACUAGAAGAAGACAGCAACUUGUGAAAAACAUUGCCUUCGUCCCAUCCAUCGAAAUUCAGUUGCCAAGCAGUUUACCAGCCCAGGAAAAAAUUGUUCUAUAUGUUCCAUUAAGAAAAUGACUAGAGACUAUCUCAAAAGAUCCAGGAGUCAGACAAGAAAUUCUGAAGUCAUUUACCCUGACAGCCAACCAGAAUGACGUUUUUCGACACUUCAGGGACGGUUCUGAAUUUUGAGAACAUUUACUUCAAAAUGGCCAUCAUGAGUGUGUUCACCUAAUUUUCUUCAUGGAUGCUCUUGAAAUUUGUCCCUUUGGACCAGCAAAAGGGUUGUACAAAACCCAUGGAAUGUCCUUAACUAUUGCAAACCUCCCUGCAGAUCAUCGUGCAAAGGCAGAGAAUGUGCUUUUGGCACUCCUACUCCUUGAUGCAAAUCUGAAGCCCACCGAGCUAGAAUACUGAGAAGAAGUUGGCAAGUUUGAAGAAUCCUUUGAUCGCCUCAUCAAGGACCUUCAAGAGCUGCAUUCCAACGGGCUGCAAAUCGAUGGAACCAAGUAUCUAGUUUGCUUUCUAUUUUGCUCCAUAGACAAUCUUGGGGCACACCAAAUAAGAUCAGUUGUUCAAAGUUUUCUUCAUGGUCAUUGCUCGAGGGUUGAAAGAUUGAAAAUUCUCUUGCCUGAUUGCCUGAUCUCAAUAGCAUACAUCAUGUCUCAUUAUGCAGCCCUUACGCUUCAGCCCUCUGAUUCGUUUAUGGACUUAAAGAUUUGAAAGUAAACAUGUUUUCUUUAAAGAUGUCGCAAAAAUAUUUAAGAGUUUCAAGAAAAUUUUAAUAACUCUAGCAAGGAAGUACCAAUUCAAGUUUGCCUUUGAUCACCUCUCUGGAUACCUUUCCCCUGAUGUAGUUUUUCAUUCAGAGCCUCCAGAGAUAACUUCAGAAGAUUUUCAACUGUUGUGCGAAAACUGUUACCUCCAUACGAUGGCAACAUUCAUGAGAAAGGGCGCAGCAUUAAACUAAAAACAUUUUAUGAGCUGACUGUAAAAAGUGUCCAUGACAAAAACAAUAUCAGUGAUUUGUGGGGAUGUUAUUGUACAUUUUGUUCUCAAAUUGUAUCUGCUGAAAAUUCCCACAAUGGGUCGGUAUUAUGUCAUCAAUGAAUGUGAUUAUGGUAUCAAAGUUAAUGCUGUAGGAGACCUUCCAGCUUAUGUAUAUGAGGGCAAACAUUGUAGUACUUUAAAGCACUCACUCAUUUUUAUGUAAAUAUACUUCUUAUAGAUGAUUAAGACUAGACAGCCAUAAUUAUUGUCAAGUGUAAACAUCAAGUGAGUGUGCAUAGUUUAGAAGUAAGAUUAUAGAUUGUUCACAAAAGAGGCUGUUUUUUCAUGCACAGACAUAAUGACUCCUUUUUAUGCAAUGUUCUUGAUAGUUCUUGUAUCGGCGAGGGACUUUUCUGUGAUCAGCCAUUCAAAAUUGCGACAGAAUUAUUCAUGUACUGAAAAGAUUCGAUUCAGUCUAAGAGCUUUUGAGAGCAGGAUUGUUCAGCCAACUGAGACUUCCACAACCUAAACUAUUUCCAUCAUUGAACUUGAUGUGACUUUUAGUACAAUAGAGCAAAAAAAAAAAUAUUUUGGAAAUUUUUUACAUAAGAGGUUUUCUUUCUUUGUGGAGACAAAAUGGCUCCUUUUUCAUGCAAUGCAUAUCUCAGAUCCACUCAAAUAAUAAACAGACAGAAAGAAUAAUAGUAUGGCACAUACUGUAGAACUAUUUUCAUGCAUUUAACACUGCAACAAUGACAAAUCAAACGGAUGAAGCCUACUGUAAAUCUUAAAAUAUAUUAAAAUACUAAUUUAUAUCCUGUUAUUUACUUGUUACUUU